AUCCGGCUGACGAUUCUCAGAUAGGACGAAACCUGCGUCCUGCAU
rfam:Schistosoma margrebowiei strain Zambia genome assembly, scaffold: SMRZ_scaffold0001273